UACGAGGGGUGCAAGCGUUGCUCGGAAUUAUUGGGCGUAAAGGGUAGGUAGGUGGUCUCAUUUGUCUGGGGUGAAAGCCUUGAGCUUAACUCAAGAAGUGCCUCAGAAACGGUGAGACUAGAGUUCUGGAGAGGGUCGUGGAAUUCCCGGUGUAGCGGUGAAAUGCGUAGAGAUGUGGAGGAACACCGAUGGCGAAGGCAGCCCCCUGGGCUAACACUGACGCUCAUGCACGAAAGCGUGGGGAGCAAACAGG
rnacentral:rRNA from 1 species